ACAAGCGGUGGAGUAUGUGGUUUAAUUCGAUGCAACGCGAAGAACCUUACCUGGCCUUGACAUCCCGGGAAUUUCCUGGAAACAGGAGAGUGCUUUCAUUAGAGAGAACCUGGAGACAGGUGCUGCAUGGCUGUCGUCAGCUCGUGUCGUGAGAUGUUGGGUUAAGUCCCGCAACGAGCGCAACCCUUGCCUUUAGUUGCCAGCAGUUCGGCUGGGCACUCUAAAGGGACUGCCGGUGUCAAACCGGAGGAAGGUGGGGAUGACGUCAAGUCCUCAUGGCCUUUAUGGCCAGGGCUACACACGUACUACAAUGGCCGGUACAAAGGGCAGCGACAUUGCGAGAUGGAGCGAAUCCCGAAAGCCGGUCUCAGUUCGGAUUGGGGUCUGCAACUCGACCCCAUGAAGUCGGAGUCGCUAGUAAUCGCAGAUCAGCAACGCUGCGGUGAAUACGUUCCCGGGCCUU
rnacentral:rRNA from 1 species